rnacentral:rRNA from 1 species
UACGUAGGCGGAAAAUUAAGUCAGUGGUGAAAUCCUGCAGCUCAACUGUAGAACUGUCAUUGAUACUGGUUUUCUUGAAUAUAGUUGAGGUAGGCGGAAUGUGUAAUGUAGCGGUGAAAUGCUUAGAUAUUACACAGAACACCGAUUGCGAAGGCAGCUCACUAAGCUAUGAUUGACGCUGAGGUACGAAAGCGUGGGGAGCGAACAGGAUUAGAUACCCUGGUAGUCC